AUACUUACCUGGAAGGGGAGAUCAUGAAGGUGGUUUUCCCAGGGUGAGGUUUAUCUACCACACUCUGGAUGUGUUGACCCCUGCAAUUUCUCCAAAUGUGAGAAACUUGGCAGCAUAAUUCGUGGUAGUGAGGGACUGUGUUCGCGCUCUCCCCUU